GGAAACUGGACCGACCCUUCGGGGAGCUUGUACAGGUGCUGCAUGGCUGUCGUCAGCUCGUGUCGUGAGAUGUUCGGUUAAGUCCGCUAACGAGCGCAACCCUCGCUGUGUGUUACAAGUGUCACACGGAACUGCCGGUCAUAAACCGGAGGAAGGUGGGAUGACGUCAAGUCAGCAUGGCCUUUAUAUCCUGGGCUACACACACGCUACAAUGGGAAGGGACAAUAGGUUGCGAAGCCGCGAGGCGGAGCCAAUCCAGACAAAACUUCCCUCAGUUCAGAUUGCAGGCUGCAACUCGCCUGCAUGAAGUUGGAGUUGCUAAGUAAACGCAGGUCAGCCAUACUGCGUUGAAUACGUUCCGGGCUU
rnacentral:rRNA from 1 species